rnacentral:rRNA from 1 species
AGCGACUAAGCGUACACGGUGGAUGCCCUGGCAGUCAGAGGCGAUGAAGGGCGUGCUAAUCUGCGAUAAGCGCCGGUAAGGUGAUAUGAACCGUUAUAACCGGCGAUACCCGAAUGGGGAAACCCAGUGUGACUCGUCACACUAUCAUUAACUGAAUCCAUAGGUUAAUGAGGCGAACCGGGGGAACUGAAACAUCUAAGUACCCCGAGGAAAAGAAAUCAACCGAGAUUCCCCCAGUAGCGGCGAGCGAACGGGGAGGAGCCCAGAGCCUGAAUCAGCAUGUGUGUUAGUGGAAGCGUCUGGAAAGGCGCGCGAUACAGGGUGACAGCCCCGUACACAAAAGCGCAUGUGCUGUGAGCUCGAUGAGUAGGGCGGGACACGUGGUAUCCUGUCUGAAUAUGGGGGGACCAUCCUCCAAGGCUAAAUACUCCUGACUGACCGAUAGUGAACCAGUACCGUGAGGGAAAGGCGAAAAGAACCCCGGCGAGGGGAGUGAAAAAGAACCUGAAACCGUGUACGUACAAGCAGUGGGAGCACCCUUUGGGGUGUGACUGCGUACCUUUUGUAUAAUGGGUCAGCGACUUAUAUUCUGUAGCAAGGUUAACCGAAUAGGGGAGCCGGAGGGAAACCGAGUCUUAACCGGGCGUUAAGUUGCAGGGUAUAGACCCGAAACCCGGUGAUCUAGCCAUGGGCAGGUUGAAGGUUGGGUAACACUAACUGGAGGACCGAACCGACUAAUGUUGAAAAAUUAGCGGAUGACCUGUGGCUGGGGGUGAAAGGCCAAUCAAACCGGGAGAUAGCUGGUUCUCCCCGAAAGCUAUUUAGGUAGCGCCUCGUGAAUUCAUCUCCGGGGGUAGAGCACUGUUUCGGCUAGGGGGCCAUCCCGGCUUACCAACCCGAUGCAAACUGCGAAUACCGGAGAAUGUUAUCACGGGAGACACACGGCGGGUGCUAACGUCCGUCGUGAAGAGGGAAACAACCCAGACCGCCAGCUAAGGUCCCAAAGUCAUGGUUAAGUGGGAAACGAUGUGGGAAGGCCCAGACAGCCAGGAUGUUGGCUUAGAAGCAGCCAUCAUUUAAAGAAAGCGUAAUAGCUCACUGGUCGAGUCGGCCUGCGCGGAAGAUGUAACGGGGCUAAACCAUGCACCGAAGCUGCGGCAGCGACGCUGAUGCGUUGUUGGGUAGGGGAGCGUUCUGUAAGCCUGCGAAGGUGGCCUGUGAGGGUUGCUGGAGGUAUCAGAAGUGCGAAUGCUGACAUAAGUAACGAUAAAGCGGGUGAAAAGCCCGCUCGCCGGAAGACCAAGGGUUCCUGUCCAACGUUAAUCGGGGCAGGGUGAGUCGACCCCUAAGGCGAGGCCGAAAGGCGUAGUCGAUGGGAAACGGGUUAAUAUUCCCGUACUUGGUGUUACUGCGAAGGGGGGACGGAGAAGGCUAUGUUGGCCGGGCGACGGUU